rnacentral:rRNA from 1 species
GACGAACGCUGGCGGCGUGCCUAAUACAUGCAAGUCGAGCGAAGUUUUUCUGGUGCUUGCACUAGAAAAACUUAGCGGCGAACGGGUGAGUAACACGUAAAGAACCUGCCUCAUAGACUGGGACAACUAUUGGAAACGAUAGCUAAUACCGGAUAACAGCAUUAACUGCAUGGUUGAUGUUUAAAAGUUGGUUUUGCUAUCACUAUGAGAUGGCUUUGCGGUGCAUUAGCUAGUUGGUGGGGUAAAGGCCUACCAAGGCGACGAUGCAUAGCCGAACUGAGAGGGUGAUCGGCCACACUGGGACUGAGACACGGCCCAGACUCCUACGGGAGGCAGCAGUAGGGAAUCUUCCGCAAUGGGCGAAAGCCUGACGGAGCAACGCCGCGUGAGUGAAGAAGGAUUUCGGUUCGUAAAGCUCUGUUGUUAGGGAAGAAUGAUUGUGUAGUAACUAUACACAGUAGAGACGGUACCUAACCAGAAAGCCACGGCUAACUACGUG